CGUGAAAAAAAAAAAAGAAAAUAAAUCGAUAUUCCCCUUCAACUUUUGUUUUUAGCCACUCGUCAGGGUCAAGCUGACACUUGAACCUCACGCCACCGAUUCAGGCUCACAAUCCUCAACCGCUCUUGCUUGUGAGCCACCAACGUCGUCCGAGUGUGUGCUGCCAUUCGUUGACAUCUGCUAUACUGCCGCUUGAGUUCCGGCGUCCUCGUCUCAGCCAUGUUGUUUGCUUUCGUUGUCACCGCUAACUUUCACACCCAGAUUCUGACGCCACUGUUCAUGUUGCUCUGCUAGACGCAUUCAGUCAUCACUCUCUUCUCCCAACUGGCUGGAUUCUGUUAGCUACUCACUAUCGAACGUCUACAACCUCAGUUCGUCAUUUAGCAACUAUUCCCUCGCUUGUAAGUUUGGUUUUGGAUAAGAUUUUGGUGGGUUUCAUGAAUUUUCUUGAAUGGAUCCUGAAUGGCCAUUGAGUUUGGGUUCAUUUAAUAGAUGCCCGUUAUGUUUGGAAGGUUCGAAGAGAGUUGUGAAGGCGAAAACGUAUUGUCAGGCAUUACUAAAGAUUGAUUUUGGAGAUUUUGGUAAGUGUUUGUGAAUUUUUCUGAAAAAGAUUGUGGAUUCCCAUUAAACUUGGAUUAAACUCAUGUUACCAUGUUUUCUUGGGCUUAAAUUGAAGGUUCGGAGGAAUUUUUUAAUCGAACGCAAGCUGUCCAAUAAAUUUUAAAGUCGAUUUUGAGGCAAUUUUAUAUUGAGGAUGAAUUUGGGUAAAGUGUUAUGGUUCUUUGGAGUAAA